UCACUAACUCUCAUAGAUAUGUAAUAUGUAACGUUAUGUAUCUAUUAUGACAAAUUCUGCCCGCUCGCUCGCUUGGUUCGUGUUUUGAAGAUAAAUGUGACUUUACUGCGGUCUUUUUCGGUUUAUUUAGUUUUGUGUUAAUUAUAUCCACAAAGUAUUACAAUAAAUUGGUAAUGUAAAACUAUUCUCCGCUGUAAAUUAAUUGUGUGCUCAAUUGCGACGCCCUGUGUUGAAUUUUCCCGCGGAAAACAUGAACCAUUUCUGACUGAAAUGUUUGACAAAGGCCUCUUACUGGAGUACAGUAUCAUUACUGAGGGGAAAUAUAACAUUAUUCAUUUAAUUCCACAAAAGGCCUGUAACGUACUGCAGCUUCCUGCAGGCAACGUGAAACAUUGCUGAGGGAGAACUUUAUUCACAACAAAAGGAUAAAGAUGAAGAGGCGGGACUUGAGCAGCUUGUGAUGGCUGUAAUUGUAAAGAAUGGAUCUUCUAGGAGUGGCAGCCCAAAGGAUGCUGGAAUUGUUAUCGAGGCCUUAAAGGUGUUCCCAGGGCAGGCUUUAUCCUCCUUGGAUUGGAUUGGAUCAGUAUCCCAGGCAUCUUUUCAAAUGUUUCAGAAACUUUUCUUGGAGCAGGAUUCUUCAAAACUUAUAAACUGAUUACAGUACAGUAAGUCUAAACUGCUGUCUGAUUCUCUGGGUGUGAAUCAAUGUAACAGAACACAAACAUGGAACCUUUCGUCGGGAAAUGUGGACGGUUCUCUUUAAAGACUGUAAAAUACUUUUUGUACACUGUUACAAAUACACCAUUAAAAAUGAGAUGCUUUCCUGUUCUUUUGACUGCAAUAAAAUAAGAAUUGAUUCAUCUUUGUCUGUCAUUCUGAAAUCAGAUAUAAUACUCAUUACUAAUAAAAAUAUUAAUGGAUGAUGUUAAAUUAAAAUAGUAUAAUUGAAUAGUAUUUAUUGUAUAGUGCUAGGUCUUUGUCCUGUAUACCCAAUAUUUUGUUUAAAUUUAAAUUAAUUUCUAGUUGCAAAUUGCAGAUUACCUUUUUGAAUGGGUUACUAUUAAAGAGUUUAUGGAUUGAUUCUAACUCAAUUUUUAUUUGUUGAAAUUAAUUAAUGAUAUUGCUUGUAAUCUGUUGCCACACUUUUAUUGAGUAGAUAUGGCAUAAUAUUUUUAUUGUAUAGUGCUAGAUCUUUGUCUAGUAUACCCAAUAUUUUUGUUUAAAUUUUAAUAAAAUUUUUAAUUGCAAAUUGCAGUUUGGCUUUUUGAAUAUGUUAAUAUU